rnacentral:lncRNA from 1 species
AUGAUUGGUCAUGGCCCAGAGCUAGAUGUUUGGGGUAGGCGGAGAAAGCGGCAGGCAGAAAGAGAAAGAAUCACUAAUGGAGAAAAAGGGGUGCUCAUUGCUUUGAGGGUUGAUUUAUAUAAGGGAAAUGGCCUAAGGGAAAGGAUUCUUCUUAUGUUGAGAUCCAGUUGUAAAGACCGAAGGCCUGGUGCUCAGAGGUACAGAAAAGAGUUCUGUGUGGUACCCAGGCAUAGGUGGGCACCAGAGCUCUACAGAAAACCCUUCAAGGACAAGCUCCGUUGCUUCUCAGUACCAUGUGGAGGAGGUUCGCCCUGAAGGGCUGGUCGCACCCUGAAUGGUGGCUGCUGGGAGCUGCAUCAUGGGAAAAUGGCCACAGCAUUCUGAGUAUGCUGCUACAGUCUGUCUGCCGAGUGGAAAUGGAGCCAGGGCCUGGCCUGUUUCUGCGCUGUUGCAUCUAAAGCCAGCCUGCCAGAAUGAUGCUAGAAGAAUGUCCUGCUGGCCUCAAGGUGUCUUCACAACACCGUUGUUCAUGUUCCCUUGUAAUUCUUCUGAAAAACUAUACAUUUGAUCCUGACUUUUCUGGGCAUCAAUUCAUUCCAGAAGUGGCGUAUGUGUGCCCACAUGCAUACUUGGGGGCAGACAGGUAGAGAGUGUGAAGUGGGGCUCUCAAUGUUUGUAAGUGUGGCAGAGAAAUAUAUCCAGAAAGUUCUGAAAGUACUGCCUACUCACCAAAAUGUUAUUUGCUUUUUUUUUUUUUUUUUUUUUUUUUGGUUGUGUUCUUUCCUGGGAAUUUUCCUGUUCAAACUUGAAAAUGAAAAUUCCUCUACUUCAAAUUGAACAGGCAAGAAAUGCUGCAGGUUGGGUUUGGGGUUUUCUAGGGGGACUGAUGGCCCUCUGCCCCGCAGUUGACUGUGGAACCUGAACUCUCUGUGAUUGUGCUCGUGU